rnacentral:lncRNA from 7 species
ACUGCGGUGCAUACACCGACCUUCCAUUCCUCCAAGCGUGGCUGCUUCAUCCGAAUCAUGGAGCCACCGCUCAUCAGCGGAUUAAUGACUAUUUCCAGCAAACAAUGCUUUGAAAAGACGCUCCUAAAGGCAAAGCAAAGAUUGGCAGAAACGCUCACAGCAGCUUAGCACGGAGCUGCCUCAAUGUCUGCCCAAUGCCCAGCCUGGCUCAGCAGUGAGCUCUGGGCAGGGUUUGAGCACGGAGCUGUGGGUGCCUGGAUGAGCUGUGAGGCACAACAUGAGCAAAGCCAUAGCAAAGAGCACUGCGAGCAGAGGAGUACAUUGGACUGAGAGUACCCACCUCUGCCGGGAUCCACACAACUUCAUCUCUCCAAGCAGCACAGCCCCCAGUGUUGGACGGAUGGCCCCAAAACCUCUGAGGUGGUGGCACAGAUCCAUCAGCAUGUGGAACACAGGACCGCAGCGUGGGCUGGCAGCGCCAGGAUUGCACUCCGUGAGCAGCAGUGAUUAUUUCGGAUUUCUGCUAUAUGGUGCUUCCUCUGUAGGUGAUGGACUCGAGGUGACAGUGAUGGCUCAGUGCUUCCUCAUAUAAGCAGAGCUCCAGAACCACCCUCAGCACAGUGCUGCGCAAUGGCUGCAAUGCUUCGCAGAGGAUCAGUGUGUGUAUGUAAAUGGCAGAAUGUUCUCAAGCAGCACUGGAUUUUGCAUUUUAGCAAGGAUUUCCUUCCCAACUCCUCCUUCCUCAGUGCUGCUCAGUACCUCUUUCCCACUCCUGCCCCUUGUUCUUCCCUGCCCAGCUCUUUGCCCUGCAUGGCACGUUCCAGCCCCUCCUUUCUUGCUGAUCUCUGUGAUUAAAAGGUGGUGAGCAACAC